UGCAGUCGAGCGGAGACAGUGAGUAGCUUGCUAUGAGCUGUUUUAGCGGCGGACGGGUGAGUAACGCGUGAGCAACCUUUCCCAGACAGGGGAAUAACACACCGAAAGGUGUACUAAUACCGCAUAAGACCACGGGAUCACAUGGUUCUGAGGUAAAAGAUUUAUCGGUUUGGGGUGGGCUCGCGUCCGAUUAGGUAGUUGGUGAGGUAACGACCCACCAAGCCGACGAUCGGUAGCCGACCUGAGAGGGUGAUCGGCCACAUUGGGACUGAGACACGGCCCAAACUCCUACGGGAGGCAGCAGUGGGGAAUAUUGGGCAAUGGAGGAAACUCUGACCCAGCAACGCCGCGUGGAGGAAGAAGGUUUUCGGAUCGUAAACACCUGUCCUUGGAGACGAGUAGAAGACGGUAUCCAAGGAGGAAGCCCCGGCUAACUACGUGCCAGCAGCCGCGGUAAUACGUAGGGGGCAAGCGUUGUCCGGAAUAAUUGGGCGUAAAGGGCGCGUAGGCGGCUCGGUAAGUCUGGAGUGAAAGUCCUGCUUUUAAGGUGGGAAUUGCUUUGGAUACUGUCGGGCUUGAGUGCAGGAGAGGUUAGUGGAAUUCCCAGUGUAGCGGUGAAAUGCGUAGAGAUUGGGAGGAACACCAGUGGCGAAGG
rnacentral:rRNA from 1 species